UACGUAGGGCGCAAGCGUUAUCCGGAAUUAUUGGGCGUAAAAGAGCUCGUAGGCGGUUUGUCGCGUCUGCCGUGAAAGUCCGGGGCUCAACUCCGGAUCUGCGGUGGGUACGGGCAGACUAGAGUGAGCGGGUAGGGAGUAAUUCGGAUUCGUGGUGUGGUGGUGAAAUGCGCAGAUAUCAGGAGGAACACCAAUGGCGAAGGCAGAUCUCUGGGCCGUAACUGACGCUGAGGAGCGAAAGCAUGGGGAGCGAACAGG
rnacentral:rRNA from 1 species